UUCAAGCCUGAUUCUGGCAUGAAAAGUUAAGUCUGAGAAUCUAAUCGUGUUAUGGUGUGAGGGCCCUUCAGAGUAUCUACACUGCCAUGUUGCCCAAAGUGGAAAUUCUUCUCUUUAGUUUUUCUUCUCUGUUUUUAACUGGAUCAAAUAGACCAAAGGGGAAAACAUUCUCAUCCUCCUCUUCAUCUUCCUCCCUUCCUCCUGCCUCCUCCUGUCUCCCUCUUCUCGCCUCCUUUUCCCACUUGUCCCUCCUCCUCCUCCUCCCUCCCCUCUCCUUCCUCUCUGCCUCUCCUUCCUCCCUCUCUUCCCUCCCCCUUCUCCUGCUCCUUUUUUUGGCCUGUUUUUCAAGAUAUGACACUGAUCUUAGAGGAGUCAUGUGCAAACAGUCCUUUUAUUUUGGUAAGUUGGGCAGAGGAAAAGGUGGAGAUCAGGAAAGUUCCUGUUAGUGGAGGAGCACUGUCGGCACAUCUGGGAAAAGGAGACACUUCUGACAUGAGAAUUUAAAGUCAUUUGGAGGAGAGAACUCUGUAAGCUCAGGAUGUCUGAACGCAGCACCGCUGACAUUUUGGGCUGAGAGAUUCUGUGGCAUGCAGGGCUGUCCUGCACACUGUAGACUGAGGCUGACACGCAGGUGGACUUGGAGGUGUAAGACGUGUUUUGGAUCAACAGCUGUGAGAGGACAGGGUGGAAGCAGGACGGGCAGAGGCACAAGCUGACUGCAGUGCUGACCCCACCAGCUUUACUGCCUGGGCCAGAGCUCCGGAGGGCGUGUGGCCGUCACAGCUGUCCCAAAUGCUGCUCGGGCUUUUCUUCCUGCCCUGCCCAGGCCCCAGCGUGGCUCCCUGCAGCUGAGGCCCUGAGGCUGGAAGGGUGCACACCACUCUUGUUGAGGGGCAGCUGGGGCUGGCACUUCUGCUCACCCCAUGAAGGCCCUUUCUCUCUGAAGCUUACAGACAAGGAAAAUGAGUUUAGGGCUGUGAAGACAUGAGCUGUGGCUAUGGCAGAGGUGAGGGUCACACUGGAUUCUCUGGAGCUCUCAGCGCCAGACUCCCAACAGGCUGUAGGGGGAGCACGCUCCUUGCAGGACGAGAGACCGCUCAGUGUUCUCCCUCCUUUCUAGGGAGCCCAUUUUCUGAUAGGCUGUGCACAGAGGGCGUUGUUUUCCUUUAUCCACACCUGUAGCUGUGUGAGGCUGAGGCUGCAUCUCAGCUGGAAAAUUAAUGCUUGAAUCUUAAAUAAUAAUAAUUACUGUUUCUGGUUAUUUUGCAUCCACUGAAAGACCUUUACAAAAUAAUUGCACUGAUCAGUCAGUGAGUUACAGAGGAAGAGUCUUGAGUUGGUGUGAUGAGAACAUUAGUGGGAUUUCUGUAAUGGCAGUAAGUGUAAUUGUAAGGCAUAUAUCGUGUUAGGACGCCUGAUGUAGUGUCUUGUCAUAACACAUGGUUUCUGUCUGGCAGCAGAUGUUCCUUAGCCUCCCCUAAGAAUAAAACAUAAUUUAAC
rnacentral:lncRNA from 1 species